rnacentral:rRNA from 1 species
UACAGAGGGGGCAAGCGUUGUUCGGAAUUAUUGGGCGUAAAGAGCUCGUAGGCGGCUUGUUGCGUCUGCUGUGAAAUCCCGGGGCUUAACCCCGGGCGUGCAGUGGAUACGGGCAGGCUGGAGGCAGGCAGGGGAGAAUGGAAUUCCCGGUGUAGCGGUGAAAUGCGCAGAUAUCGGGAGGAACACCGGUGGCGAAGGCGGUUCUCUGGGCCUGUUCUGACGCUGAGGAGCGAAAGCGUGGGGAGCGAACAGG